UGUAAUAAAUGUGAUUUAAAUCAGUAAAUAUCUCAUUUUGUUUGUUUGUUUAUUUUAACCUGAGGAAGUUCCAGAAAAAGUCCAGACCAACAUCAGCAGGAAUUUCCCAGUUUCUACGUGCACUUGAACACACCAUCAGUUUUGGAACGUGAUUGUGAUCGGCGGUCUGUGAUUGGCUGUCUGUGGUCAGAUGUGUUUAAAUGGUCGGCUGACCCGGUGGCGCCUGUUUGCCAGUCGGUGUUAUGGUCGGAAGCUUUUGCUCAGUUCUGAUCUUAAAACACUGUGAUGGUGAUUUAUUUUCCCUGUGUCCUCCAGCAGCUCUGAGCUCUACGUCAUCUCUGAUUUCAUGUGGGGCUGGGCCGAGAGCUGAUGUCAUGGAAGUUUACGGCUGAGAGCGGAGUCAGCUGCUUCCUGAUUGGCUAUCAUUCCGUUCCAUGUGACAAUCCACAGAGAGCGUGCUCGGCUUUCCUCUGUAAUAAUAUGAAGAGGUCAGUUUGAAGUAGUUAGAGAGUAAAAGCCAAAAACUUCUGUGUUUUUGUGUCGGGCCUAAAGAUAAAUAGAGAGA